rnacentral:rRNA from 1 species
GAUGAACGCUGGCGGCGUGCCUAAUACAUGCAAGUCGAGCGAAUGGAUUAAGAGCUUGCUCUUAUGAAGUUAGCGGCGGACGGGUGAGUAACACGUGGGUAACCUGCCCAUAAGACUGGGAUAACUCCGGGAAACCGGGGCUAAUACCGGAUAACAUUUUGAACCGCAUGGUUCGAAAUUGUAAGGCGGCUUCGGCUGUCACUUAUGGAUGGACCAGCGUCGCAUUAGCUAGUGGGUGGGGUAACGGCCGACCAAGGCAACGAUGCGUAGCCGACCUGGGAGGGUGAUCGGCCGCACUGGGACUGAGACACGGCCCAGACUCCUACGGGAGGCAGCAGUAGGGAAUCUUCCGCAAUGGACGAAAGUCUGACGGAGCAACGCCGCGUGAGUGAUGAAGGCUUUCGGGUCGUAAAACUCUGUUGUUAGGGAAGAACAAGUGCUAGUUGAAUAAGCUGGCACCUUGACGGUACCUAACCAGAAAGCCACGGCUAACUACGUGCCAGCCGCCGCUGUAA